rnacentral:rRNA from 1 species
UAGGGAAUAUUGGUAAUGUGCGAAAGCGCGAACCAGCAACGCCGCGUGCACGAUGAAGGCCUUCGGGUUGUAAAGUGCUUUUAGAGAGGAUGAGGAAGGACAGUACUUUCUGAAUAAGCCUCGGCUAACUACGUGCCAGCAGCCGCGGUAAAACGUAGGAGGCUAGCGUUAUCCGGAUUUACUGGGCGUAAAGCGCGUGCAGGUGGUUUCGUAAGUUGGAUGUGAAAGCUCCUGGCUUAACUGGGAGAGGUCGUUCAAAACUGCGAGGCUUGAGAGUGGUAGAGGGAGGUGGAAUUCCGGGUGUAGUGGUGAAAUGCGUAGAUAUCCGGAGGAACACCAGUGGCGAAAGCGGCCUCCUGGACCAUUUCUGACACUCAGACGCGAAAGUUAAGGUAGCAAACG